GCCAGUGAGUCAGCGAUUUUCAGCUAGAAUAAGCAAGAGAGUGUUAAGUCUCCAGAAGCCAUCAGCUUCCAGUCCCCAGUACAGUUAGAGAGAGUUAAAAGGCAGAAGAUGAUCGGUCUUUUGGCCUUCGUUCAAUGCUGUGGUCCGCUUCAGCUCUGGUCCCUUAAGUCCGGGCAGGUUUCCGGGCCUGAUCAGUUUCCUUCUUCAUUAUGACAAAAUGAAUCACGGUCUGCUGACAGCUAAAUUUUGAGAAAGAACAGGUGAUGAGUAUUUGAGUAGUUUCCAAGCCUGGCUACUUCAGACAUUCAUCAGGGCUCCAGGAAUGAGUCUCUUGUGGAAUCUGUGGGACAAAUAUACUUGGGAUUGCCUCAAGUGGUAGGUGACAAAG